rnacentral:rRNA from 1 species
ACGCUGGCGGCAGGCCUAACACAUGCAGGUCGAGCGGUAGAGAGAAGCUUGCUUCUCUUGAGAGCGGCGGACGGGUGAGUAAUGCCUAGGAAUCUGCCUGGUAGUGGGGGAUAACGUUCGGAAACGGACGCUAAUACCGCAUACGUCCUACGGGAGAAAGCAGGGGACCUUCGGGCCUUGCGCUAUCAGAUGAGCCUAGGUCGGAUUAGCUAGUUGGUGAGGUAAUGGCUCACCAAGGCGACGAUCCGUAACUGGUCUGAGAGGAUGAUCAGUCACACUGGAACUGAGACACGGUCCAGACUCCUACGGGAGGCAGCAGUGGGGGAUAUUGGACAAUGGGCGAAAGCCUGAUCCAGCCAUGCCGCGUGUGUGAAGAAGGUCUUCGGAUUGUAAAGCACUUUAAGUUGGGAGGAAGGGCAGUUGCCUAAUACGUAACUGUUUUGACGUUACCGACAGAAUAAGCACCGGCUAACUCUGUGCCAGCAGCCGCGGUAAUACAGAGGGUGCAAGCGUUAAUCGGAAUUACUGGGCGUAAAGCGCGCGUAGGUGGUUUGUUAAGUUGGAUGUGAAAUCCCCGGGCUCAACCUGGGAACUGCAUUCAAAACUGACUGACUAGAGUAUGGUAGAGGGUGGUGGAAUUUCCUGUGUAGCGGUGAAAUGCGUAGAUAUAGGAAGGAACACCAGUGGCGAAGGCGACCACCUGGACUGAUACUGACACUGAGGUGCGAAAGCGUGGGGAGCAAAC